UUAUGAUGGAGAGGGUAUUUUUAGAGAAUAGCCUUGAAUCUUUCCCAUGUUUGGUAAAGAUUCUGUCCAUCUUUUUGCCUAAAACUCAAAAUCCCACUUCUCAACUA
rfam:Capsicum annuum cultivar Zunla-1 unplaced genomic scaffold scaffold3313, whole genome shotgun sequence